rnacentral:lncRNA from 1 species
UGGCAAUUAUUUCUCCUCUAGCAGAGUUUUCUGUGAAGAUGUGGAACAUCACAGCUAUCAGUGUUUGCCACCACAAUGGUCAUUGUGCUGAGGGCCUUCAGAAAUGGCUUCCUGCAAGCAGAGUAUCAUCCAGUUUCUUCUGGAAGCUAUUACUGCAAAUUCAUUGAAGAAAAAGACCAAGGAGGCAUUGAAAGUUAAUAUUGGUGAUGAGAAGGAUAAGAGCAGAAACCCAGAAGCAAAUACUUCACCUUUUUGAGUGAGAGAUUUGAAACUUUCCCCAGCUUGGAAUAUAUAUCUGCCUCUCAGACAGUAUCCCAAAAGUGUGGAUGUCAGUGAGACCAAGACAUCCAGGUCACAGAAGUACGACCCUGUCUGAGAUCCUGCAGUGAAGCUCCAAGUCUGUGGAGCUGCUUGUGGAAGAACGAGGUUAUUCACUAUCCCCACACAGCAAAAAUGGAGCAGCCUAUUGUUCUCUAUCAAGACUGAAGAGCCAUGCCAUAAAUUGUCAGGAAAAUGUCUCUUUCCAACAGCGGCAACAGCUCUGAGCAGGUCUGGAGGUGGGCUCUAAGGAACUGCAGUACUCACACUGUGCCCAGCCAGGGUCUGCUCUGACUCGGCUCCCUGAGCCAGGACUAAGCUGUACCAAUCUCCCCUGCUCUUCCCAGAAGCAGAGGUAUGAAUGGUGAUGGAGUAAGUGCAUCAAGCCUUCAGGUGAGCUUGUGCAUCCUAGU